ACACAUCACAUAGAUCUGGAGCCAGUCCUAAAGGUUUUACACAUCACAUAGAUCUGGAGCCAGUCCUAAAGGUUUUACACAUCACAUAGAUCUGGAGCCAGUCCUAAAGGUUUUACACAUCACAUAGAUCUGGAGCCAGUCCUAAAGGUUUACCUCUCUCUCUCUUUCCCCUCUCUCAGAUCAUCAGUACUGCAGUAGUAGUUUCCUGCAGCAUCUUGGUAGGUGGUUUCUGUCUGAUGGGUCUCAGCCAGGGCACCAAGGAGAACCAGAACUACCAAGCCCUGGAGAGAGCCUCCAACACAGGUACUAUAGAGGACCUGAGGCCCCCUGGACGCCAGGAGGACCAGAACUGCCAAGCCCUGGAGAGAGCCUCCAACACAGGUACUAUAGAUGACCUGAGGCCCCCUGGACACCAGGAGGAGCCCUCAGCACCAGAGACCAGCAACAACAGUGGUAGCUCACUAGACACAUUAUUGUUUUUUCUAGUUCUAUAAACUUGGGUGCAUUGGUUUACUGGGGAUUUUGUGUUGAACUUCGUAUGUAAAACCUUAAA
rnacentral:lncRNA from 13 species